rnacentral:rRNA from 1 species
AACGAACGCUGGCGGCAUGCCUUACACAUGCAAGUCGAGCGGCAGCGCGGGGGCAACCCUGGCGGCGAGCGGCGGACGGGUGAGUAAUACAUCGGAACGUGUCCUUUCGUGGGGGACAACCCGGUGAAAACCGGGCUAAUACCGCAUACGAUCCACGGAUGAAAGCAGGGGACCGCAAGGCCUUGCGCUAUCAGAUUAGCCUGCGUCGGAUUAGCUAGUUGGUGAGGUAAUGGCUCACCAAGGCAACGAUCCGUAGCUGGUUUGAGAGAACGACCAGCCACACUGGGACUGAGACACGGCCCAGACUCCUACGGGAGGCAGCAGUGGGGAAUAUUGGACAAUGGGGGCAACCCUGAUCCAGCAAUGCCGCGUGUGUGAAGAAGGCCUUCGGGUUGUAAAGCACUUUCGGUGGGGACAAACGUGGCGAGGCUAACAUCCUCGUCCUUGAUGGUACCCAAAGAAGAAGCACCGGCUAACUCUGUGCCAGCAGCCGCGGUAA